rnacentral:rRNA from 1 species
UGCCAGCAGCCGCGGUAAUACUGAGGGUGCAUGCGUUAAUCGGAAUUACUGGGCGUAAAGCGAGUGUAGGCGGCUACGUAAGUCGGUUGUGAAAGCCCUGGGCUUAACCUGGGAACUGCAUCCGAUACUGCGUAGCUAGAGUCUGAUAGAGGGAAGUGGAAUUCCGGGUGUAGCGGUGAAAUGCGUAGAUAUCCGGAGGAACACCAGUGGCGAAGGCGGCUUCCUGGAUCAAGACUGACGCUGAGGCUCGAAAGCGUGGGGAGCAAACAGGAUUAGAUA